rnacentral:rRNA from 1 species
UGCUUCUCUGGAUGAGUUGCGAACGGGUGAGUAACGCGUAGGUAACCUGCCUGGUAGCGGGGGAUAACUAUUGGAAACGAUAGCUAAUACCGCAUAAUAGCAGUUAUUGCAUGAUAACUGUUUAAAAGGUGCAAUUGCACCACUACCAGAUGGACCUGCGUUGUAUUAGCUAGUUGGUGGGGUAACGGCUCACCAAGGCGACGAUACAUAGCCGACCUGAGAGGGUGAUCGGCCACACUGGGACUGAGACACGGCCCAGACUCCUACGGGAGGCAGCAGUAGGGAAUCUUCGGCAAUGGACGGAAGUCUGACCGAGCAACGCCGCGUGAGUGAAGAAGGUUUUCGGAUCGUAAAGCUCUGUUGUAAGAGAAGAACGAGUGUGAGAGUGGAAAGUUCACACUGUGACGGUAUCUUACCAGAAAGGGACGGCUAACUACGUGCCAGCAGCCGCGGUAAUACGUAGGUCCCGAGCGUUGUCCGGAUUUAUUGGGCGUAAAGCGAGCGCAGGCGGUUAGAUAAGUCUGAAGUUAAAGGCUGUGGCUUAACCAUAGUACGCUUUGGAAACUGUUUAACUUGAGUGCAAGAGGGGAGAGUGGAAUUCCAUGUGUAGCGGUGAAAUGCGUAGAUAUAUGGAGGAACACCGGUGGCGAAAGCGGCUCUCUGGCUUGU